rfam:Picea glauca, whole genome shotgun sequence.
UUAUGUACAUGUCUACAACGUUAUUGCAUCGGAUCCCAUCAAAACUCCAUAGUUAAGUGUGCUUGGGCUAUAGUAGUAAUAGGAUGGGUGACCUCUCAGGAAGUCUUAGUGUUUUACAUGCC